UACGUAGGGUGCGAGCGUUUAAUCGGAAUUACUGGGCGUAAAGCGUGCGCAGGCGGUUCGCCAAGUCAGGUGUGAAAUCCCCGGGCUUAACCUGGGAAUUGCGCUUGAAACUAGCGGGCUUGAGUGUGGCAGAGGGGGGUGGAAUUCCACGUGUAGCAGUGAAAUGCGUAGAGAUGUGGAGGAACACCGAUGGCGAAGGCAGCCCCCUGGGUCAACACUGACGCUCAUGCACGAAAGCGUGGGGAGCAAACAGG
rnacentral:rRNA from 1 species